CAGGAGAAAGCAUUUAGAUGUUUUUCGUUUACGUUGAAAGGAAGAUAGGAUUAUCUCUCUUGA
rnacentral:tRNA from 1 species